rnacentral:pre_miRNA from 1 species
AUCGCCUGGAGAAUCUUGUUAAAAGGCAGAUUCUGACUCAGUAGGUCUGGGGGGCGCCCUGAGACUCUGCAUUUGUAACAGGCUUCCAUGUGAUGCUGG